rnacentral:rRNA from 1 species
GAUAAACGCUGGCGGCGUGCAUAACACAUGCAAGUCGAACGAUGAAGCUUAGUUGAUUUCUUCGGAAUGAUUUUAAGUGAAUUAGUGGCGAACGGGUGAGUAACACGUGAGUAACCUGCCUUACACAAGGGGAUAGCCUUUGGAAACGAAGAAUAAUACCCUAUAACGUCAAAAUAUCGCAUGAUAUAGUGACCAAAGAUUUAUCGGUGUAAGAUGGACUUGCGUCUGAUUAGCUAGUUGGUGAGAUAAAGCCCACCAAGGCGACGAUCAGUAGCCGGCUUGAGAGAGUGUACGGGCCACAUUGGGACUGAGACACGGCCCAAACUCCUACGGGAGGCAGCAGUGGGGAAUUUUGCACAAUGGGGGAAACCCUGAUGCAGCGACGCCGCGUGAUUUAGAAGGCCUUCGGGUUGUAAAAAUCUUUUUAUGGGAUGAAAAUGACAGUACCAUAAGAAUAAGGUCCGGCU